CACCACCGCCUCCGCCCUUGCGCAUGCGCAGGGCCCGCACUGCCGGCUCGCCCUAGUCUUUUGCUUUCUUUUUCUGCCCUCGGCUUCGCUCUUGCGCACGGGACCACAAUGCUCCGCGCCGCUUGUCAUUGGGAGGCGCCGAAGAUCACUCACUCUUGGGGGCAUCCAGCAGCCAUGUUGUGAGGACAGUCAAGCUGCUGUGAAGAGGCGCACCUGGAGAGGAACUGAGGCCUUCCACCAAAACCAAGCACUGACAUGCCACUCAUGGCUUGAGGGACAGAGGAUCAUGAACCAAAGCAUCUGUGUAAAAGGAACCAAGCAAUGACAGGAAUAUAUAAAACAUCGGCAGAAAGAGGCCUUUGGAGGAAUCCGGGCCAGCAUUCUCAUCUGGAUGAGGGACUGCGGCCCAUGGAGGGUUCUCAUUUGUAUGAGCUGAUGCUAUUAUCAUCAUCCAAAAAAUUUACUAGACAGGUUUCCACAGAUGAUUGGAAAAACCCAAGAGUUGGUCCUCUGUUCCAGACCCCACACAGACACAAACCUACGAGCCAAGGGAGCCAGUAUUUGGCCAUUCGUCCAUCCAUCUGCAUGUCCCAGGGAUGCACGAACAGGGAACACUUCAGCCUUUCAGCUGCCUUCAAAGAAGCAAUGAGAGAGAGAGAGAGAGAGAGAGGGUUACUUUGAUGAGUGAGCAAAUACCAGGUACUGUUUUGGGGAAAUUGCUUUUCUUUGGGUCUAUAUUGGUCUGCAUAAAUAAACUAAAAUGCUUUUGAAGUUGUUUUAUGAUCUAUAUAGAAGAGAGAUUGACAAACUUCUCCUGCUUGGAAAAUAAAAGGGACACUUAGAAUUAACAAAGGGGGUUGGUAGAUUUACCAUUGAGGUUGAUGAACUUAGUAUAUCGUCUGGUAAAACAAGCAUCAGGAAAUAUCCAUCAUUCAAAUGUUUUGGCUGACAGCAAAAUGCUCAAGGACAAAUCCCACACCUGAAAUGUAGGGGAAAAUUUCCCCUGCAUUUGGCUGCUUCUGGCUCCUACUUGGUCUACUCUUUUGGAAGGACUGCUGAGAUUGUAUCCUUGGAGUCAGGGCGAGAGUGCCCCCUCCUUUUCCCCACUUGGAAACAAGAGUUUGUGGAAAGUGAGGAAGUGAUGUGCUGGAGCGAGAGGCUCAGUGCUGGGCUGGGGCUGGCUGGCCUGACCCAAGCCACCUGGCUACUCAGAGCCCAGCACUGGGCGGAAUCCCUGGGGUCUACAGGCAUUCACCCAGCCCCAGAAGCCCAGAUGAGUCUCUGAACAGUCGGCUGUGAGUGAGAUGACCUCAGAAAUGGAAGAGGUCAAUGCCUUAGCCAGACAGGCACUGAUAUGAAUGUCAUGGGCAUGCUCCAGGGCCUUCUGAGAAAUGGAAAUACCAUCUGGUUGGAAUGACCUUUAUUCAACAAAAAGUUUAAUCAAAAGAAGUCUCCUCAACAGGCAUUGAAUAUUAGUGCUCAUCAAGAUUCAAAAGAGAUUUCCCUUAGAAUAAUUCCUCACCACAUAUAUUGAGGUUCUGGAGUGAUUCAUCCUACCCUCAUACAUAAAUGUUUGUGCUAACCAG